AGACCUACCAAGAACCAUGUGGUUGCUGUUAAUGACCAACUACAACAAAAUGGGCAACCCCGGGCAGUGGUGAGAAUGACUGCACAAGGAGCUGACCCACAGGAUAAAGACAGCAGCUGUUCCUUCCCUUUCCCCCAACAUGUAUUUCCCCAGAUGCCAUCCUACAUGUUCACAUUGAAGAGAUAAGCCUCUCAGAAGGAAGAUUCAUAACCAUAGAAAGUUGAAAAGAGAAACCUCUUUAAAUGCUGGUUUAUUAAGAAGAAUGAAGGCAGAUGUGACUGGGGCCAAAGAUCUCAGUGCACAUUCCUGACACUCCCCCACUGAUCAUGAGGCCCAAGGAUGUGGCCAGGAGGCCGGGCAUCAGCAGCUGGGAGACUCUUGCUGUGAAAGGAACCUGGGAAGCCUCUGCCACGUGCACAGCUGUGUAAGGAGAAGGACCUCUCUAUGUUUUCAGGGCUGACCUGCAGCGGAGACACCUACAUAUAAGCAUAAACUUGAGAAAGCAAUGAGCACCCAGGGGAGACGGGGCUGCCGCUUGGGCUUGCUACUUACCAGUGCUGUGUGAACUUUAAGAUGUGCCUGUAGCUUAUAUUUAUCUGGAGUCGAGUAGUCACAGCCGUCGGUGGGACACUUCAGCAAGAUGUUACUGUGUUUCUGAAUUACGUGGCGUUUAAGGCAGUUUUUGGUGAUGGAAGAAUAAUGACACUGAGAGCAAUAAUACAGAUGUUCCCGGGUGUGGGUGCGGACAUGCAUAUCAAAAUGCACUUGGUACCAAAAAAGUUUGCCU
rnacentral:lncRNA from 1 species